rnacentral:rRNA from 1 species
AUUGAACGCUGGCGGCAGGCCUAACACAUGCAAGUCGAGCGGAUGACAGGAGCUUGCUCCUGAAUUCAGCGGCGGACGGGUGAGUAAUGCCUAGGAAUCUGCCUGGUAGUGGGGGACAACGUUUCGAAAGGAACGCUAAUACCGCAUACGUCCUACGGGAGAAAGCAGGGGACCUUCGGGCCUUGCGCUAUCAGAUGAGCCUAGGUCGGAUUAGCUAGUUGGUGAGGUAAUGGCUCACCAAGGCGACGAUCCGUAACUGGUNUGAGAGGAUGAUCAGUCACACUGGAANUGAGACACGGUCCAGNCUCCUACGGGAGGCAGCAGUGGGGAAUAUUGGACAAUGGGCGAAAGCCUGAUCCAGCCAUGCCGCGUGUGUGAAGAAGGUCUUCGGAUUGUAAAGCACUUUAAGUUGGGAGGAAGGGCAGUAACUUAAUACGUUNCUGGNNGACGUUACCGACAGAAUAAGCACCGGC